AUGGAAGCAUUGGUUUAUACGUUCCUUUUAGUUUCGACUUUAGGGAUAAUUUUUUUUGCUAUCUUCUUCCGAGAACCACCUAAGGUUCCACCAACUCCAACUAAAAGAAUAAAAUAA
rnacentral:rRNA from 1 species